UUUUUUGGAUUAUGUGGUGUGGUCAUUCUAAAAAUUUAAUUACAUUUCAAAGUAAUAUAAGCAUUCCAUUUGGUGUGAGCGCUGCUUAAGAAUCCAAUGCUUUGUUAUAACUUCUAGAUUAGGUGUGAUGUUGAUAUUAUGUCCUAGCUGUUAUGCUUAUGUUUUUGUGGUUUUUGCACACAAUUUCGUAAUGGUUCCACUUGGUACUAGGUAUCUGGUGUUCAGUUGCUUGCCUUCUCUAUAGCCACUUCUGCUAUUUUUGUUUGGAGUAACCAACGAGAUUUACUCAACUUCGCCUUCUCUUAUUCUCAUAAAUUAUCAGAAAUUUUUUCCCCCUCUUCUGAGCAAGAUGAUGAAGUGGAUAGAAAACGAAAAGCUUUUAUUUUGUGUAUGCUUAUUAUCUCAAGUUUUCAACAAUGUUUGAGAGAUAUAUCCGUAAAGCUGUUUUCUCCUCCAAGCAGAGUCCAUUUUGCUCUAUUAUAGACCUUUUUUUUUUCUAUCACUAGAUGUAAUCGCCUAGCAAUAGAAAAUAAUAUUCCCAUAGAAGUAGCUUUAUUGAAUAAAUUGCAUAGUGUGCUAAUAAGCAGUAACUUUCCUUAAAACUACUACCAUAUAUGUUAAUGCUACAUCUCAGAUUGUAAAUGCUUCAAUCUUGUUAAACCUUGUGACAAUGUGUCCCAGAUUCAGUCUCACGGUGCAGCUGGUUAUGCCACGGCCACUACUACUGGCGAUAGCAUCCAGAGUUGGCAAAUUGUGUUGAAAUUGGGCUCCCUGCAUUGGUUAUUCUGGUGAUAUUGUCCCAGUUUUUACCGUGCAGAUAAAGUCACUGCCUCUUUGUAAAGCUCCAAGGCAAUACAAGUAUGACUCACAAGGCUAAGCUUAUAGGAGGAUAUUCUAUUCAAUAGAAAGUUGGAACGGACAAUUGAAAAAGUCAAGAAGGAAAAACUGAAACAGAAGAGAUAGAAUGAGGCUUAUGUUAGCUAUUAUGAGAAGGUUAGAGCGUCAAGUAGUUUUAGUGUUGUUCCUCUACCACCACCACCACCGCCACCCUCAAUCUCUUUGGAUGGGGACUAUGAUGAUGAUGAGGAUGAAGAUGACACUAAAGACUAUAGCUGAUAGUUUUAGUAUGGUUGAACAAUAUAUUCUGAAAAUUAUAGUUGAUGAUCAAUACACUUUGUUUAUGUUUUGAAUUAUAUUGACUUGCUUGUUUAUAAUACU